UUAUACAACGGAGAGUUUGAUCCUGGCUCAGGAUGAACGCUAGCGGCAGGCCUAACACAUGCAAGUCGAGGGGCAGCACAAAGAUAGUUUACUAUUUUGGUGGCGACCGGCGCACGGGUGAGUAACGCGUAUGCAACCUACCUUAUACAGGAGUAUAGCCCGAAGAAAUUCGGAUUAAUCCUCCAUAGUAUUUUCUAAUGGCAUCAUUUGGAAAAUUAAAGCUUCGGCGGUAUAAGAUGGGCAUGCGUCCUAUUAGCUAGAUGGUAAGGUAACGGCUUACCAUGGCAACGAUAGGUAGGGGGCCUGAGAGGGUGAUCCCCCACACUGGUACUGAGACACGGACCAGACUCCUACGGGAGGCAGCAGUGAGGAAUAUUGGGCAAUGGAGGCAACUCUGACCCAGCCAUGCCGCGUGCAGGAAGAAUGCCCUAUGGGUUGUAAACUGCUUUUAUUUAGGAAUAAACCCUUCUACGUGUAGAAGGCUGAAUGUACUAAACGAAUAAGCACCGGCUAACUCCGUGCCAGCAGCCGCGGUAAUACGGAGGGUGCAAGCGUUAUCCGGAAUCAUUGGGUUUAAAGGGUCCGCAGGCGGACGUAUAAGUCAGUGGUGAAAUCCUGCAGCUUAACUGCAGAACUGCCAUUGAUACUGUACGUCUUGAAUUCGGUCGAAGUGGGCGGAAUGUGUAGUGUAGCGGUGAAAUGCAUAGAUAUUACACAGAACACCGAUAGCGAAGGCAGCUCACUAGGCCUGGAUUGACGCUCAGGGACGAAAGCGUGGGGAUCAAACAGGAUUAGAUACCCUGGUAGUCCACGCUGUAAACGAUGAUUACUCGUUUUCGGCGAUAUACAGUCGGAGACUAAGCGAAAGUGAUAAGUAAUCCACCUGGGGAGUACGAUCGCAAGGUUGAAACUCAAAGGAAUUGACGGGGGCCCGCACAAGCGGUGGA
rnacentral:rRNA from 1 species